rnacentral:rRNA from 1 species
AUUGAACGCUGGCGGCAGGCCUAACACAUGCAAGUCGAGCGGAGCGGCGGACGGGUGAGUAAUGCCUAGGAAUCUGCCUGGUAGUGGGGGACAACGUCCGGAAACGGGCGCUAAUACCCCAUCCUAUCAGAGGAGCCUCGGUCGGAUUAGCUUGUUGGUGGGGUACAGGCCUACCAAGGCGACGAUCCGUAACUGGUCUGAGAGGAUGAUCAGUCACACUGGGAACGAGACACGGUCCAGGCUCCUUCGGGAGGGAGCGUUGGGGCAUAUUGGACAAUGGGCGGAAGCCUGAUCCAGCCAUGCCGCGUGGUUGAAGAAGGUCUUCGGAUUGUAAAGCACUUUAAGUUGGGAGGCGUGACCAACAGAAUAAGCACCGGCUAACUUCGUGCCAGCAGCGGGGGUAAUUC